rnacentral:rRNA from 1 species
GAGGCGAACCGGGGGAACUGAAACAUCUAAGUACCCCGAGGAAAAGAAAUCAACCGAGAUUCCGAAAGUAGCGGCGAGCGAAAUUGGACUAGCCCUUAAGCUUUACACGCGUUAGACGAACGGUCUGGAAAGUCCGACGAUACAGGGUGAUAGUCCCGUAGUUGACGACGUGUGUUCAGUGAAAUCGAGUAGGGCGGGACACGUGAUAUCCUGUCUGAAUAUGGGGGGACCAUCCUCCAAGGCUAAAUACUACUGACUGACCGAUAGUGAACCAGUACCGUGAGGGAAAGGCGAAAAGAACCCCUGUGAGGGGAGUGAAAUAG